rnacentral:tRNA from 1 species
ACUUUUAAAGGAUAGAAGUAAUCCAGUGGUUUUAGGCACCACUUCAUUUGGCGCAACUCCAAGUAAAAGUC